CAGUCUGUCUUCAUAGGAGAGGUGCUCCAGCCCUCUGAUCAUCUUUAUGGCCCUCCUCUGGACUUGUUCAAGCAGAUCCGUGUCCUUCUUGUGCUGGGGGCCUCAGACCUGGAUGGAGUACUGCAGGUUUGGCUGCUACCAGUUAUUUCACCUUUUAUCAACUACAAGCAGCAUGAACCUAACAAUGAAGAAUGAUGCAAAUAUAAUGAUCCUAUUGAUUGAAGCAGAGAUUUGUACUUUGAGAGAAAUUGAAUUCACCUACUGAAACAGAAGCUCCUUAGGUCUAGAAGUCCACAGCUGAUACUGGAAGGAAAGGUGACCUAGCAUAGGCAAAGUUUUACAGGAAUCAAA